rnacentral:lncRNA from 1 species
CGGAAGUUGAAAAACAUUAUGGAGACCGGACUACACACAUAUAUUUGUAACAUAUAUAACAUACCCCUUGUAAUUGUAUAUAUAAAUUUUUUUUCUACAAAUCCUGAUCAUUACUUACUUAUCUCUGAUUAUUGUUUUCAGGUGUCUGGGGAUGGAUGUCCUUGUUUGGUCGGGAGCAUUGGUUCACAUCAAUGGAACCCUCACAGCCUUGCAGUAUUUAGAAUAUUUUAUGCAAUGUACUACUGCCAUCAGUGCAACGCAUCUUCAGCACAGAUGCUGUCCCGGUCAUUCACAAUCGCUCUCCUGUCCACAUGGCCAA